rnacentral:SRP_RNA from 1 species
CGGUCCUCUCGCGACAGCACGCCGUGAACUCCGCCAGGCCCGGAAGGGAGCAACGGUAGCGGUAUUGCUGGGCGCCGGGAUGUGGCUGG